rnacentral:rRNA from 1 species
CGGAGGGUGCAAGCGUUAUCCGGAUUCACUGGGUUUAAAGGGUGCGUAGGUGGGUUGGUAAGUCAGUGGUGAAAUCUCCGAGCUUAACUUGGAAACUGCCGUUGAUACUAUCAAUCUUGAAUAUCGCGUAGGUAAGCGGAAUAUGUCAUGUAGCGGUGAAAUGCUUAGAUAUGACAUAGAACACCAAUUGCGAAGGCAGCUUACUUCACGAUCAUUGACACUGAGGCACGAAAGCGUGGGGGAGCAAACAGGAUUAGAUACCCUGGUAGUCCACGCCCUAAACGAUGAUUACUCGACAUACGCGAUACACUGUGUGUGUCUGAGCGAAAGCAUUAAGUAAUCCACCUGGGAAGUACGACCGCAAGGUUG